AUCGCUUCUUGGCCUUUUGGCUAAGAUCGAGUAGUAUCUGUUCUUAUCUAUUUAAUAUCUGAUAUGUCCUCUGAGGACAAUAUAUUAAAUGUAUUUUUGGAGCAGGGAGAUGGAAUGAGUUUGCCUCAUCCACUCCGUGCAUUGACCUGGUAUUGCAGUACUUCUGGGAACAGUGCACUCAAA